rnacentral:tRNA from 18 species
GGGAAUAGCUCAGUGGUAGAGCACAACCUUGCCAAGGUUGGGGUCGCGAGUUCGAAUCUCGUUUCCC